GUUAUAUGGUCAAGUAGAAAAGCGCACACGGUGGAUGCCUUGGCGAUAACAGGCGAUGAAGGACGUGAUAGCCUGCGAAAAGCUGCGGCGAGUUGGCAAAUAAACAUUGACCCGCAGAUGUCCGAAUGGGGAAACCCACUCCUUUGGAGUAUUCUUAUCUGAAUCUAUAGGGUAAGAAAGCAAACCUAGGGAACUGAAACAUCUAAGUACCUAGAGGAAAAGAAAUCAACCGAGAUUCCGUCAGUAGUGGCGAGCGAAAGCGGAACAGCCCGUAUGAUAUAGUCGUAUUAUGAGCAGAAUGGUCUGGAAAGUCCAGCGACACAGGGUGAUAGCCC
rnacentral:rRNA from 2 species